rnacentral:rRNA from 1 species
CAGUAGCCACGGUAAUACGUAGGUGGCAAGCGUUGUCCGGAAUUAUUGGGCGUAAAGGGCUCGCAGGCGGUUUCUUAAGUCUGAUGUGAAAGCCCCCGGCUCAACCGGGGAGGGUCAUUGGAAACCGGGAAGCUUGAGUGCAGAAGAGGAGAGUGGAAUUCCGCGUGUAGCGGUGAAAUGCGUAGAGAUGUGGAGGAACACCAGUGGCGAAGGCGACUCUCUGGUCUGCAACUGACGCUGAGGAGCGAAAGCGUGGGGAGCGAACAGGAUUAGAUACCCCAGUAGUCCCUGUCUCUUAUAC